rnacentral:lncRNA from 1 species
GAAAACGUGGCCCCCGGUCCCUGUCCACAUUCCGCUCCGGUGAGAAGCCUCGGCGGUCAUGGUCGGGAGGCGAGUAUGGUCUCCCGCGCUCAGGUGAGUACCCACGAUGGCGAUCCGGAGACACAGGUCCAUUGAAAUUGCCUGGCAGGCAGGCGUGAACGGGACCAGGUCAACUGAGCGUGGAAAUCGGUCGGCGGCCUUUACACAGGGCCUUUGCGCAUCCCAAGGCUGGUCCAAACGAGACUAGGUGACCAAGACACGAGGCCAGGCUGGGGCUGCCCAACUAGCGCCGCUUGUAGAAGCCGCAAGGUGCACGCGAUGACCAGGCUCCAACGCGCCAGAGCUCAGGCAGCAGUCUAGCCACUCUAUGCUAUAGGAAAUGCUUGCCUCUACUCCAAACCGCGCAGCUUACCGGC